CACAGUCUGCGGUUGAGAGAAGUCUGGCCAGGGACCUGGAAGGAACUGGGAAGAAACGGUGCCUGCCAGCCUGUUCUCAGGUUCAUGCUCAGCUGGCUACCUUUUUACGCAGAAGCGCUUUCCGAGGGAUGGUGUUGCCCACAAUGCGCUGGGGCCUCCUGCACCUACUAAUAAUCAGCCCCCGGCAGACAGGGCUCACCUGAUCUAGGCAAUUGCCCUCAACUGAGCCUUGCCUUUGAGAUGACUAGUCUAUGUCGUUUCCAGUCAAACCUGAUUACAGGGAGACACAACACGCAUGACUACUCCCCCAAAACUGGAAGUCACAGCAUGUUAAAGGAAUGGUCAUAUCCACGUCCAGCUUGAAUGUCGGGCAGAUUCUUCCAUGAAGCAGGAACCCUGAAGGAAUGUCCCGUCUUGUUUUGGUAAAUUCAGCAGUCACUUUCCUGUGGAUCCUGUAUGGCCAGUUUGGACAUUAUACAGUCAAACAGUCCAGGCAAGAGCAGUUUCUUGCCCAAAUGGCUGGUCUUGCCAUGUCAAAGGCAAACUCUAUAAUGAGUUUCUUCUAUGCCCAUCU